rnacentral:rRNA from 1 species
GACGAACGCUGGCGGCGUGCUUAACACAUGCAAGUCGAACGGAAAGGCCUCUUUCGGGGGGUACUCGAGUGGCGAACGGGUGAGUAACACGUGAGUAACCUGCCCUUGACUUUGGGAUAACUUCAGGAAACUGGGGCUAAUACCGGAUAGGAGCUCCUGCUGCAUGGGGGGGGUUGGAAAGUUUCGGCGGUUGGGGAUGGACUCGCGGCUUAUCAGCUUGUUGGUGGGGUAGUGGCUUACCAAGGCUUUGACGGGUAGCCGGCCUGAGAGGGUGACCGGCCACAUUGGGACUGAGAUACGGCCCAGACUCCUACGGGGGGCAGCAGUGGGGAAUAUUGCACAAUGGGUGGAAGCCUGAUGCAGCAACGCCGUGUGCGGGAUGACGGCCUUCGGGUUGUAAACCGCUUUCGCUCAUGACGAAGCUUUGUGUGACGGUAGUGGGUAAAGAAGCACCGGCUAACUACGUG